AAAAUGAAGCAGGGAAGUGGUGGAGGGGGGGUGCAAUUUUAGGAGGAAGGGACUGGCUGCAGGCAAGGACAGGGAGGAAGUGAGGAGACCUGCCUGAUCCCCAGAAGCCCAGCUUGCAGGUAAGGAAACUGAAGCCUGGAGAGGUGCAGCAACUUCCCCAAGGUCACACAGCGAGGAACUUAGAGCUGGUGCCCACCGACCUCUGUGCCCUGACAGACCUGGUCUGUCCUCCACCCACCCUCCCUGAGCUCCAAAGACCCAGCAGGAGUCUGUCUGCACCAGUGUCCUGCCCCUCCCAAGCUCAGCUUGACUCUGGUUCCUGUCUGCUGCCGAACAGGUUGUUCCACCCCUCCUUUUCACAGAUGGGCAAACUGAGGCCAGAGAGGGGCCAUGCCUGAUGGAGAUCGCCCAGCGGGCAGUUAGCACCCAGGUGGGUCCACACGUCCACAAGCCCUGGUUGGGGUGGUGGAGGGGGUGUCCUAGGGCUCCUGCCCCCACCCCAGCCUUGUUUUUCCUCUCUGGGCUGACACUGUUACCUUUGCUGCUGCUGCUGCUGCUGCUGCUGCUGCUGCUGCCGCCACCAGGCCAGAAAAACUCGCUGGGCAGGACUGGCUGCUGCCAGCAUUAGGCCUGACUUGGUCCUUGGGGCUUUUCUGACAGCCCAGGGGUCAGCCUAGCCCCUUGUUCCCCUGGGUAGGUGGAUGUAGGGGUCACACAGAGAGACAAAGAUACUCAUGAUUGCUCAGUGAGAGACUCACACAUAACAGUCACUCCACACAGUGGGAGACACACACAGACACACACACACAAGCAUCCCAGGAAUGCACACUCAGACACAAUGGAGACGCUCUCACACCCCCGGCACUGCCCACUGAAGUGAAUGGCUCCAGCAGCCUCUCCUCUCACCAACUCAGGCCCACAAUCCCAGUGCCCCCUCCCUCCUCUGGCUCUGGGAGGCUCAUGCAGCAGAGCCGGCUGCACUGGAUCCAGCCCUCCCGGUUCCGGGGCCAUCUGGACUCAGAUUCAGUUCCUCCUGCAAGCCCUGAAGUUCCCACAGGCCUUGGGAAGGGGAGUGGAGAUGAGGUCUGGAGAGGCCCCAGAGGGUAGCCCCAGUCUGGGGGAUUCUCAAAUGCUUUGAGGCUCCACCUGGGCCUUGAAGGAUGGCUAAGGUCAAGACUAGACAGAGAAAAGGGAAAAGGCAUUAUUUCUGGUGAGGGCCAUGAGCAAGAGCCCAGCCAGGCUAGGGAAAAGGGCCAGGCUGGGAGAGGGAGUGACAGCUGGGAUGCUGGGCUGUGAGAUGACAGAGACAGCACCGCUUGGCCUCAGGCAGGGGCUGGCUCAGCAGGAGGGGCUGCACCCAAGCCUCACUGUCCUCUGCUGUAAAGCAGGACAUUUGGACCAGGUGGGAGAAGGGGCAAGAUUUGCCAUUUACUGAGCACCUAGUAUGUGCCACACACAGACUAGGUAGGGGCUGGCACAUGCACGUUUCCCAGAUUUGAGAAUUCUCCAGUUCCCAGGUUGGAAAGCCCUAGAAUCCCUGGGUCCCUGGCUCCCUUUCCCUUAUCUCCUGUUCUCCACUCCCUGACUCUACUAUAUGAUCAAAGAACUGCUCCAGAUAACGUUCUAUCUGCUCUAGAUAACUUUCCAAGUAUCUAAAGAUGAACUUCAAAUACCAUAAAAUUCAAAGUUGUGGUCGUUUGGGUUUGAAAUCAUUUUCAAACCCACCACACCCUUUCUGUCCCCUCACCCAGAGGAGUGGGGCCACCUGUAUGCAGGCCCCUCCUCGGGGCCAACAGGGAGUCAGGGCCUUCUGCCUGGGUACCCGGUGCCCCAGAGGUGGAGCCACUGGGAUCCCUGUCUCCAGGCUUCUCGCCUGCCCAGCUGUGGGUCACCGUCACUCCACUGCUUGAAGCAGUGCUCCUCCCCAGGCACCACGGCCAAAGUUCAGUAAACCCUGGGCUGGUUAGCACGUGGCACUAGGGAGUCAUGGGGCUCAGAGGCUGCCUCUCGGAAGCCUCUGGGAGGCUUCGGAAGGCCAGACAGGGCAGGAGACACACAUCUGCCUGCACACCCACCUCCGCGUCACGAGCACAUGAACUAGCUCUCUUUCUGGCUGUGUGACCCUGAGGGCUGGAUGCAUCUUAGAGCAAUGGGUUGGCCACCGGAGCCUGGGUUCAGGGUCAGAACACCUGGUGGGCUGCAAUCCCAGUUCAGAACCAACAGAAGUGGGUUUCAAGAACAAAGCAUCGCAAUGAGGACCUAAGACCUGGAAAGUGAUGCUCUGUUUGCUGAGUCCCAGCUAGACUGGACCUUCAGGGCCCACUCCUGCCUCCCUGCCUUUUUAGUGUCUCAUAUGCAAGUCAUUUUGAGUAGCAAGUUACAAGAAGGCUAUGAGAGGGGCUGAGGGAUCCAAGAAGGCCCUGACUGCGUGAUGGGGUCUGAUGCAGCUCUCACAGGAUGCGCCAUUUUACCUGGGCCUUGAGGCAUGAGUAGGAGUUCAAGAAAAAUUCCUUCCAGUUGGAGGAAAUACUGUGUGCAAAUGCCUGGAGGUGUAUUUAGAAGUGGUUUGGGGCUGGGCGCCGUUGCUCACACCUGUAAUCCCAGCACUUUGGGAGGCCGAGGUGGGCAGAUCACCCAAGGUCAGGAGUUUGAGACCAGCCAGGCCAACAUGGUGAAACCCUGUCUCUACUAAAAAUACAAAAAUUAGCUAGGCGUUGUGGCAGGUGCCUGUAAUCCCAGCUACUCGGAAGGCUUAGAUGAGAUAAUCGCUUGAACCCAGGAGGCGGAGGCUGCAGUGAACCGAGAUCGCACCAUUGCACUCCAGCCUGGGUGACAGGGCGAGACUCCGUCUCAAAAAAAAAAAAAAGGGAGAAGUGGUUUGGACCCCUUGACUGUAAUGGAGUAGGGGGAAUCCCAUUUUGCCCUACGCCUCAUACAGACCAGAGGGUGGGAAACUUGAACACAUCUUUAUCUUAAAUCUUUCAUCUUAAAACAUCAAUAAGGAAGGAAGCCACCCCAGGGAUGACUGGUGGAGAAACUCAACCACAGGCAGGGAUAGGACAGAUGGAGCAGCAGAUCUGGGCAGCUGGGGUGACAGACACCACCCUCUUGUUCAGGAGAACCAUAGACCUGAAGGAACUCAGGCUGUGGGUGAACCCAAGCUUGCAAAUGUAUUGCGACCAAAUUGUUUAACCAGAUUUCAAUUUACAACCCAGGAGAGGUAGGGGUGUGUGUGUGUGUGUGUGUGUGUGUGUGUGUGUGUGUGUGCGCGCGCGCGCGCGCAUGUGUCCCAUCAAGGCAUCAAGUGCUUUGGACUGGUGGUUGGAUCUCAUUUAGCCCAAAUGUGAACAAAAAGAUCCCUAGCCUGUGGCUCAGGAGGCUGAGGGGCUAUCUACCUCCCAGUGGCCAUCCUGUGCCCCUACCCUGCCUCACCCGGCUCACAGGGCCCCAGGCUUUCCCAGCUAUUAGCUCCGCCAGCCACCUGAACAGGUGCCCUCCCUCGGGGUCCUAAACUGUCUUCUUUCUGGUUGGGAGCUGGGACUGUUCUGUGUUCUCCCCACAGCCCCUAGCCCAGCCAGGUGGGCCUAGGGUGGCUCUGUUGGCAGCACCCACACAGCCCCCAGGGUCCCAGGCCUCUCAGCUCCCUUGCAAGGAGUGCACUAUCGCCCACAUUUGGCAGGCCAGGACGCAGAGGCCCAGAGAGGUGGGCUGGGGUCUAAGUCCAGGCAGGCUGGCUAUAGAGCUGGGAAGGGUAGCUAAGGUUUGGCCAGGCAGAGAGGAUGAGGCAGGGAGGGAGGGCCUCCUGGGGGGCACAGCCCAGGUAGCAACAUGGCAAAGUAGAAAUGGACUUGGAAUGAUGAGCUCUGGAACAAUAGUAAUAGCAUAAUUGGAAUAAUUAUUAUUGCUAUUGUUAUGUGAUAAUAACCAAUCAGGAGGGCAUUAGGCAACGUUUUACAUGUAUGAGCUCAAAUGUGGCCCCAGCUCUGACCUUUCUUGCUGUUGUGGCUCUGGGCAGGUCGCGGCUGCACUCGGGGCCUCAGUUUCCCCACUGGGGCAUGAGGAUUUCAAGAAAAAUUCCCUCUAGCUGGAGGACACUCUGUGUGCAAAUGCCUGGAGGUGUGUUUAGAAGUGGUUUGGACCCCUUGACUGGAAUGGAGUAGGGGGAAUCCUGUUUUGCCCUAUGCCUCAUACAGAUCAGAGGGUGGGAACCUUGAACACAUCUUUUUUUUUUUUUUAGAGACAGAGUCUUGCUCUGUCGCCCAGGCUGGAGUGCAGUGGCGCGAUUUUGGCUCACUGCAACCUCCACCUCCUGGGUUCAUGCCAUUCUCCCGCCUCAGCCUCUGGAGUAGCUGGGACUACAGGCACCCGCCACCACGUCUGGCUAAUUUUUUUUUGUUUUU
rnacentral:lncRNA from 10 species